rnacentral:rRNA from 1 species
GAUGAACGCUGACAGAAUGCUUAACACAUGCAAGUCAACUGUGGCGGACGGGUGAGUAACGCGUAAAGAACUUGCCUCACAGCUAGGGACAACAUUUGGAAACGAAUGCUAAUACCUGAUACUGUGAGAGAGCUUUGCGUCCCAUUAGCUAGUUGGAGAGGUAACGGCUCACCAAGGCGAUGAUGGGUAGCCGGCCUGAGAGGGUGACCGGCCACAAGGGGACUGAGACACGGCCCGUACGGUAACGGGAGGAAGCAGUGGGAGAUUUUGGACAAUGUACCAAAGUAUGAUCCAGGAAUUCUGGGUGCAAGAUGAAGUUUUCGGAAGGUAAAGUGCUUGCAGUUGGGAAGCGGUACCCACAGAAGAAGUGACGGCUAAAUACGUGCCAGCAGCCGCGGUAAUAC